rnacentral:rRNA from 1 species
AUUGAACGCUGGCGGCAGGCCUAACACAUGCAAGUCGAACGAGUGGCGGACGGGUGAGUAAUGUCUGGGACACUGCCUGGUGGAGGGGGACAACUACUGGAAACGGUAGCUGAUUCCGCCUACCAGCAGAUGUGCCCAGAUGGGAUUAGCUAGUUGGUGGGGUAAAGGCUCACCAAGGCGACGAUCCGUAGCUGGUCUGAGAGGAUGACCAGCCACACUGGAACUGAGACACGGUCCAGACUCCUACGGGAGGCAGCAGUGGGGAAUAUUGGACAAUGGGCGAAAGCCUGAUGCAGCCAUGCCGCGUGUAUGAAGAAGGCCUUCGGGUUGUAAAGUACUUUCAGCGGGGAGGCGUUACCCGCAGAAGAAGCACCGGCUAACUCCGUGCCAGCAGCCGCGGUAAUAC